rnacentral:rRNA from 1 species
GUGUCAGCCGCCGCGGUAAUACGUAGGGGGCAAGCGUUGUCCGGAUUCAUUGGGCGUAAAGCGCGCGUAGGCGGCUCGACAAGUCGGCCGUGAAAUCUCCAGGCUUAACUUGGAGGGGUCGGGCGAGACUGUCGGGCUCGAGGUGGGCAGAGGGCAGUGGAAUUCCGGGUGUAGUGGUGGAAUGCGUAGAGAUCCGGAGGAACACCAGUGGCGAAGGCGGCUGCCUGGGCCUGGCCUGACGCUGAGGCGCGAAAGCGUGGGGAGCGAUCCGGAUUAGAUACCCCCGUAGUCC